rnacentral:lncRNA from 1 species
GCUUGACAAGACUCUCAAACGAGUGUAUUCCAGAGCUGGCUUUUAUACAUAGUUUGCUUACAUUAGCCAUGAGAUAUGCAAAUACAGUACAGACUAUAAGAUUUAUUACUUCCUUAUAUUACAUGUUAUUCUGACAAUGGAAAGAUAAGCUUUUGCAUACGUCUGGGGAAGAAUAUCCUGAAAUCGGAAUGGGCAAGACAUCCUGAGAUUUAGCAUUGUCUUACAUCCUAUAGAAGAAAUACCUUAGUCUGUCACAGUCAGCAUAUUAUGUCGUAAAUUGAGUUUAACUAUUUCAUAUCCUUUCAGUCAGCAAUAAUAUUUAUAAACCUUAUAAAAGCAUAAAAUACAUAUGAACAAGUUAACUAUUCCAUAUUCUUACAUUCCCCUCUUUGAGCAAUAAAAAAAUUGCUCAUCUUAUCGAUAAAAUCUUACCAGGACAGAGAAACUUCCACAUGGUAUUUUCAGGGGUGCUAGUCACUCCCUGCGGGACUUUCAUUAAUUUCUUCACCUCGAUUCCCAUGUGGUAAUUCCUAAGGCCCAGUUUAAAGAUGGGUUGAUACCCUCCAGUGGCAGAGAGGAGAAUUUCUAAUUGUUUCUGUUCUGCAUUAUGGAUUAAUUUCUGUACUCACUUCCUCAAUGUACAACUAAGGUGACAGUUAUAUAAAAUCAUACACAAUAAAAUCAGGACUAUAAUAACAAAAGGAUAGAAGAAUGAUUUCAUUAUCUGGGAUCCAGUAGGGGACCAACCAGUAAAGCAUUGUACCAAUGAUGGGCUAAAUCAUUCUGAAUUUGUGAACUCACCUUAAGGAGUUCUCCUUUUAGGAUAUGUGUGGCUACCUGUGUGUGUUAUCUUUGGGAAAAUAUAGUCCCCUGUGUAUGUGGGUGCCCACCAGGUUAAAUUCUUGGCAAAAAGAUCAUAAACUGGUACUGGUAAUGUGUUAAAUUGACAAGCUAAUUUAACAUCCUUUGAUGAUGUAUGAUAUAAUGUAAAAUAGCAUGAGCAUGAAAAAUGUGAAACAUUACCAGUUAACCAUCCAUUGCAUUUAGUGGAUUGGGGUUUUAGAAGUAACCAUUCAUUAUCUGUGAGGUUAAGCUUUCCUCUAAUCUUCUCUAGUUUAGGAAUCAUUAGUGUGUCUUCUAAUGCCAGUCUUUGUUGUUGCAUCCAUAAAUACCUGAUGGCACAAGUACUCCAGUUACUUAGACCUGUAGUGAAUUUCAUAGUUGCAACAGUUAAAUUAUCUAAAUAAUUAUACAUUGAUUUAUCUAAAUCCAAUCCUGUAACCUGUGAUUUAACAACAAUUGGAGCACAGUUUGCAGUAGCAUGGAAACCAGUCCCUAUAUGCAUGCUGGCCGUAUUUAACUUAUUCUUGAUGGUCUCCAUAUCUAUAACUAUUUAGUAUACCCAUAGUGGUUCCAGCACCUCCUAACAGUGUGUCAUACCAUUCCCUUUUCUGCCUUUGUUUGUUGUAUUACAUAAUGUUACAACAGGAGUAGUGAUUUUUAAUGACACAUGUACAGCUUGUAAGAAGGCAGUUGUAUUAA